rnacentral:rRNA from 1 species
UACGUAGGGGGCAAGCGUUGUCCGGAUUUACUGGGCGUAAAGCGCGCGUAGGCGGAACGAUCAGUCCGGUCUGAAAGCCCCCGGCUCAACCGGGGAGGGUGGCUGGAAACUGUCGUUCGUUGAGGGCGAGAGAGGAGGGUGGAAUUCCUGGUGUAGCAGUGAAAUGCGUAGAUAUCAGGAGGAACACCGAUGGCGAAGGCAGGUCUCUGGGCGUGAACACUGACGCUCAUGCACGAAAGCGUGGGGAGCAAACAGG